GACGGAGGGUGCUAGCGUUGUUCGGAAUCACUGGGCGUAAAGGGCGCGUAGGCGGCCUUGCAAGUCGGUUGGUGAAAGUCCGGGGCUCAACUCCGGAUCUGCGGUGGGUACGGGCAGACUAGAGUGAUGUAGGGGAGACUGGAAUUCCCGGUGUAGUGGUGAAAUGCGUAGAUAUCAGGAGGAACACCGGUGGUGUAGACGGCUUUCUGGACCGUAACUGACGCUGAGACACGAAAGCGUGGGUAGCAAACAGG
rnacentral:rRNA from 1 species